UACGAAUCUUGCGAACGUUGUUCGGAAUCACUGGGCUUAAAGGGCGCGUAGGCUGCCAUCUAAGUCAGAGGUGAAAUCCCAUAGCUUAACUAUGGAAGUGCCUUUGAUACUGGAUGGCUCGAGGGAGGUAGGGGCAGAUGGAACUUCCGGUGGAGCGGUGAAAUGUGUUGAUAUCGGAAGGAACGCCGGUGGCGAAAGCGAUCUGCUGGACCUCUACUGACGCUGAGGCGCGAAAGCCAGGGGAGCAAACGGG
rnacentral:rRNA from 1 species